AGCCCAGUGAGCAGAAUGAUAAAACAUUUUAUUUAAACAUUUGGUAUCAUGGAAUGCAUCACAUCACAACUAAUCAUAUCAAGGAUGAAUUUGUCACCCAUAGCCCUCUAAGUGGUCCAACUGUGCCAGGGGCAUAGAAUGGGCCUCAAUGGUCUUUCUCUUACAUAACAUAUCAUAACAUAACAUUCCAACUGUGCCAGGGGCGUAGAAUGGGCCUCACUGGUCUUUCUCUCACAUAGUGCCAGGGGUGUAGAAUGGGCCUCACUGGUCUUCCGUACCGUAUCAUAUCAUACCAUAUCAUAUCAUGGGAGGGCUAAAGGAUCAUUCAACAUUCAUCCACAUCAUCAACAUAUUAUGCAAUGCAACAUAUUCGUGAAUUCUAAUGCAAACAACCUAAUAUAUCUCAUGGCAUUCAUGAUGCGUGAAUCAUGUUAAGAAUUAAUUUAUUUACUUAAAAAC
rnacentral:lncRNA from 1 species